AAAGCCCCGCAAGGGGUCAGUAGAGUGGCAAACGGGUGAGUAACACGUGGGUGACCUGCCUUCGAGUGGGGGAUAACGUCCCGAAAGGGACGCUAAUACCGCAUGACAUCCUGCUUUUUAAGAGGCGGAGAUCAAAGCCGGGGAUCGCAAGACCUGGCGCUUGAAGAGGGGCCCGCGCCUGAUUAGCUAGUUGGUGGGGUAACGGCUCACCAAGGCAACGAUCAGUAUCCGGCCUGAGAGGGCGGACGGACACACUGGGACUGAGACACGGCCCAGACUCCUACGGGAGGCAGCAGUGGGGAAUUGUUCGCAAUGGGCGCAAGCCUGACGACGCAACGCCGCGUGGAGGAUGAAGACCUUCGGGUCGUAAACUCCUUUCGAUCGAGACGAAUGGUUUCCGGGUGAACAGCCCGGGAAAAUGACGGUACCGAGAGAAGAAGCCCCGGCUAACUCCGUGCCAGCAGCCGCGGUAAUACGGGGGGGGCAAGCGUUGUUCGGAAUUACUGGGCGUAAAGGGCUUGUAGGUGGCCAACUAAGUCAGACGUGAAAUCCCUCAGCUUAACUGGGGAACUGCUUCUGAUACUGGAUGGCUUGAGUUUGGGAGAGGGAUGCGGAAUUCCAGGUGUAGCGGUGAAAUGCGUAGAUAUCUGGAGGAACACCGGUGGCGAAGGCGGCAUCCUGGACCAACACUGACACUGAAAAGCGAAAGCCAGGGGAGCAAACGGGAUUAGAUACCCCGGUAGUCCUGGCCCUAAACGAUGAAUGUUUGGUGUGGCGGGUAUCGAUC
rnacentral:rRNA from 1 species